GUUUGAUCAUGGCUCAGAACGAACGCUGGCGGCAGGCCUAACACAUGCAAGUCGAGCGAACCCUUCGGGGUUAGCGGCGGACGGGUUAGUAACGCGUGGGAAUAUACCCUUUGGUACGGAAUAGCCUCGGGAAACUGAGAGUAAUACCGUAUGUGCCCUUCGGGGAAAGAUUUAUCGCCAAAGGAUUAGCCCGCGUUGGAUUAGAUAGUUGGUGGGGUAAUGGCCUACCAAGUCUACGAUCCAUAGCUGGUUUGAGAGGAUGAUCAGCAACACUGGGACUGAGACACGGCCCAGACUCCUACGGGAGGCAGCAGUGGGGAAUCUUAGACAAUGGGCGCAAGCCUGAUCUAGCCAUGCCGCGUGGACGAUGAUGGCCUUAGGGUUGUAAAGUCCUUUCAGAUGGGAAGAUAAUGACGGUACCUCUGAAGAAAGCACUGGCUAACUCCGUG
rnacentral:rRNA from 1 species